rnacentral:rRNA from 1 species
AUUGAACGCUGGCGGCAUGCCUUACACAUGCAAGUCGAACGGUAACGCGGGGCAACCUGGCGACGAGUGGCGAACGGGUGAGUAAUGUAUCGGAACGUGCCCAGUUGUGGGGGAUAACUGCUCGAAAGAGCAGCUAAUACCGCAUACGACCUGAGGGUGAAAGCGGGGGAUCGCAAGACCUCGCGCAAUUGGAGCGGCCGAUAUCAGAUUAGGUAGUUGGUGGGGGAAAGGCUCACCAAGCCGACGAUCUGUGGCUGGUCUGAGAGGACGACCAGCCACACUGGGACUGAGACACGGCCCAGACUCCUACGGGAGGCAGCAGUGGGGAAUUUUGGACAAUGGACGCAAGUCUGAUCCAGCCAUGCCGCGUGCGGGAAGAAGGCCUUCGGGUUGUAAACCGCUUUUGUCAGGGAAGAAAAGGCUCCUUCUAAUAUAGGGGGCUCAUGACGGUACCUGAAGAAUAAGCACCGGCUAACUACGUGCCAGCCGCCGCCGCGG